AAUGAGACAUUUGAGGACUGUAAUGAGACAUUUCAAGACUGUGAUGAGACAUUUCAAGACUCUCCUACAUUUUGAUCAAGUUUCUGAAGAAAUUGAUGUUCAACUUACUGCUCCAACUGAAAGCUCUCAGAAACUCAAAAGGACAAUGUGUUAUUUUUAUUGUCAUGCCUCGAGCCAGUCCAAAAGAACUUGCACUUGCUGCCAAGCACAAGCAUGAAGAAACAGGAUGAGUACUGUGAAAAGAAGAAAAGAAAAGUCUCAUAGGAUACUCGAUGAGUUGGAUGAUCAGUGAAAAUGAUAAUAUUUAGAUAAUGACGUUGUUGAUGAAGUUGUUUUUGAAUUGACUAUUUUUGGGUUGAUGAAGUUGCUAGAUGAAGCUGGCUUAUUGUUUUUUUGUUGAUGAAGUUGCUGGAAGACCUUUAU